AGAGUUUGAUCCUGGCUCAGGACGAACGCUGGCGGCGUGCUUAACACAUGCAAGUGGAGCGACGAACCAGGGCUUGCCCUGGGGCAAAGCCGCGAACGGGUGAGUAACACGUGAGUAAUCUGCCCCGAUGACCGGGACAACCCGAGGAAACUCGGGCUAAUACCGGAUGAUGAGCCUUGGCGUAAGCCUUGUCUCUAAAGGAAGCUUCGGCCUCCGCAUUGGGAGGAGCUCGCGGCCCAUUAGCUUGUUGGUGGGUAAUGGCCUACCAAGGCAACGAUGGGUAGCUGGUCUGAGAGGACGAUCAGCCACACUGGGACUGAGACACGGCCCAGACUCCUACGGGAGGCAGCAGUGGGGAAUCUUGCGCAAUGCGCGAAAGCGUGACGCAGCAACGCCGCGUGGGGGAAGACGGCCUUCGGGUUGUAAACCCCUUUCAGGAGGGACGAAGGUUCACCGGUGAAUAGCCGUGUGGAUUGACGGUACCUCCACAAGAAGCACCGGCUAACUACGUGCCAGCAGCCGCGGUAAUA
rnacentral:rRNA from 1 species